GAUGAAGAACGUAGUGAAAUGCGAUAAGUAAUGUGAAUUGCAGAGUUCAGUGAAUCAUCGAAUCUUUGAACGCAUCUUGCGCUCCUUGGUAUUCUGAGGAGCAUGCCUGUUUGAGUAUCAUGAACACCUCAACUCUUUAUGGUUUUCCAUGAUGAGCUUGGACUCUGGGGGUUUUGCUGGCUCACAGUCGGCUCCUCUAAAAUAAAUCAGCUUACCAGUGUUUGGUGGGUAUCAUGGGUGUGAUAACUAUCUACGCUUGUGGUUUUUCCACCAGGUAACCUUCAGCAGUGGAGGUUCGCUGGAGCUCAUAGACGUCUCUCCUCAGUGAGGACAGCCCUUUGAACGUUUGAUCUCAAAUCAGGUAGGACUACCCGCUGAACUUAAGCAUAUCAAUAAGCGGAGGA
rnacentral:misc_RNA from 1 species